rnacentral:rRNA from 1 species
UAGCCUACGGGAGGCAGCAGUGGGGAAUAUUGCGCAAUGGACGAAAGUCUGACGCAGCGACGCCGCGUGAGGGAUGAAGGUUUUCGGAUCGUAAACCUCUGUCAGGAGGGAAGAAAGCGCAUGGCGCCAAUCAGCCAUGCGUUGACGGUACCUCCAAAGGAAGCGCCGGCUAACUCCGUGCCAGCAGCCGCGGUAAUACGGAGGGCGCGAGCGUUAAUCGGAAUUACUGGGCGUAAAGCGCGCGUAGGCUGUUGUGUAAGUUGGGGGUGAAAUCCACGGGCCAACCCGGGGACAGGCCUU